CUGGGAAGCGGCCUCAGCUCGCUUGGGGAGGAGGUGGCUGUGGGCAGGUGGUCGCCGGCCUCGAGCGGUCGGGCCUGGCUUCUCCGCUACGGGCUGUUGUUCCCUACAUGGCUGGGCGAGUGGACGAGACCGGGACGCCACCCCACACGCAGCGGUGUUCCUUCCCCAGUGUCCGCGUAGAAUUACCGUCUUGGGGCUCUGGGAGGCGACCUGGUGGGACGAGGGCCCACGGGGUUCUGUUAACACUGUUCCGUGGGCCAGGGCAGGAGAAGAAAGGUCCAAGAACAGGAGUCCCUGGACAGACGUGUUAAACCUCUGGAAACAUGACAGAUUUUGGCUUAUCAGUGGAAACACAAGUGUAAAAACAGAUGUGUCACCCUUUGUUGUCAUGUUCCUGAGGAACUCUGAGAAGAAACUUAUCACAGCUGAGAGAUAUAUACCAAGAACUUAUCAUCAUACUCCACCUGCAACACCUACAGAUUUGGGUGAAUUCCUCUCUUCCCAAGGUCCCCAAAAUAUCCUGGGGUUCCUGCACCUGCCAGGGAAGUGACCUUCCUUAUUAACCAGAAUCCUGUAACCAGCACCAUGUGAAUGAGCCAGGGCUGGCCUGCUGGAGGACGGACAUCACACGCCCAGCUAAUACCACUGACCAUCCUGACAGCCAGCCAUCUACCAAACACGUGAGGCCAAAAAUUGCCAGCUAACCACAAAGUCAAUGAACCCAAGUGAUACCACACGGAGCAGAGAUGAACCAUCUCGGCUGCUCCCAGCCUGAAUGUCAUAAUUUAGGGCAAGUCACAUAAUUAUGAGAAAAUCAAUGGAUGUUGUUUAUGCCACUAAGUUUUCGGGUGAUUCCCUUUUUUUUUUCAAGUGUUUUUUUUUUUUUUUUCCUGAGGAAGAUUCGCUCUGAGCUAACACCUGUGGCCAAUCUUCCUCUUUUUGGUUGAGGAAUAUUCACCCUGAGCUAACAUCUUGCCAGUCUUCCUCUAUUUCAUAUGUGGGUCACCGGCACAGAAUGGCUGCUGACAAGUGGUGUAGUUCUGAGUCCAGGAACUGAACCUGGGCCGCCAAAGCAGAGGGUGCCAAACUUAACCAGUAGGCCACGGGGCUGGCCUCUAGGGUGACUUCUUACACUGCACAAACUGGCGGCUGCAUGGGUCUAGCACUGAGCCUGUUGUCUUCUGUGCUAGACGAGCUCUCUGCUCCUAGACUCCAGUCGCCAGGUGGCGGAGAGGAGAGCCGAGCCACUUGCUGAGAGGAGGCAGGGACUGUGGCUUUGUCUCCUGGGGUUGUGAGACUAUAAAUGGGAUGUAAGUGCUGUCACAGUUAACUUGCUAAAACUGAUCUUGACAGUUACACUUAAAACUCUUCAACACUCAUCAAACUGGCAAAGAUGAAAACAAUCCGCCUUCAGCACUGGCGAGGGGGGAGCAGAGGCUCCCUGACACUCUUCACUCUGAUGCUGGCAGAGCCUUUCUGAAGGGCAAUUUACAACACGUGCCAAGACCUUAAAUACCUUUUUUUUUUUUUGAAAGAGAUUAGCCCUGAGCUAACAUCUGCUGCCAAUCCUCCUCUUUUUGCUGAGGAAGGCUGGCCCUGAGCUAACAUCCAUGCCCAUCUUCCUCUACUUUAUACUUGGGACGCCUACCACAGCAUGGCUUUUGCCAAGCGGUGCCAUGUCCACACCCGGGAUCUGAACUGGCGAACCCCGGGCCACCGAAACAGAACAUGCGAACUUAACUGCUACGCCACCGGGCCGGCCCAUUGAAUACCUUUUGAGCAAUUUCACUUUUAGGAAUCCCCCAAAGGAAAUAACAAACCACAUGCAAGAACUUAUGAACAAAAAAUAUUGAGCACUGCGUUCUUUAUGAAUACCAGACAAAAAUGUUUAGCAUGUCUAUAGCCAUUUCCCGAAUGCCAGGCCUUGUUCUAGUGUUAACACAUAUGGACACAUUGAAGCCUCAUAACAGCCCUCUCAGGCGUCAUUUCCAUCUCAGGGGUGAGCAAAUGAGUGCACAGUGAGUCAAUCUCUCCUCUCAAAUCUGGCAGGACAGCCACACCCUCCCGAGACUCCUGCACAUCCUGGACCGUCUACUCCCUGGCCAUCUCUCCUCCAGUGGUCUCGUCUUGCUAACUGCCUGCUAUCCCUACCAUCUCUGUCUGUCUUCCUUCUCCCACAGCCUGCCCACAUGCAGGUCUGGGGUGGUAGAAAGGAUUUCCAUUACAGACAUUCCACAAACAAAAGAACCGGGUGUCAGACAUCCCAGCCGUGGGAAGUCCACUGAGAUGGGCUUCUCCUCUUCCUCACUGGGAGGCUUUCUCUCACCCUACCCACCCUGCUCUCCCCCACCUAGCUUCCAGCUCUUUUCCUAUGCAGAGGGUUUCUCUCUAUGUAGCCUGAGCAGCUUCCUCCUUCCUGAACUGCAAGCUGUGCCUCCCGACCACCCCACCCAGGUAAGCCCUGGGCCUUGCCACACCCCACUUCUCUCCAGCCCUACCACCUAAGGCUACGCAAGUGCACCAGCCUCUCUGAAGGGGGUGGAGGAGUAACUAAAAGGAAUGCAACGUAGCCACACCAAACACACUUAUCAGAGGGACAUGCACAAAAUGUCAAAUCCCACCUGGGUAUUAUCUGCCCCCCUGUCUCUAUGCCCUGCAAAGGUAUCUGCCUCCCUGCUCCACCGACCCAGCCUGCACCCACUCUUGGGGGAAUUUCCCCCUCCUGCCAUCUCCUUCCCUCUAGAAGGUCUACACAGGAGUCAGGUGACCUGACUCACCAGGCCCUCAGGUGGGCACAGGUGGUUGGCAGGCUGGGACCAUUACCUAACCAUGGAUGCCCCCCUCACCUUUUAUCCUGGAGGAGGGCAAACAGGAAGUGACUGGGGAACAGAACUACCCUCGAGGACCCUGUGGGUCCCCCCUUCACCCCAGCAUCACACACACACCCUGACCCUCACUUGCAGAGCGUGACCCUCAGACUCUCUGAGCCAGAUCCUGUUGGAAGAAAAGUUUAUGAGUCUACUGUUUC
ensembl:lncRNA